AGCUCAUUCUGAGCUUGCUGGCAAGCAGUGUAGGCCUCUCCAUUGAACUGGACUCUGUGUAGGACUUGUUUUUGCAGAUUUUUGGAAUAUUUAAUACGUUUUUCCAGACACAUUGAAGAUGAUUUCUAAAAGGCUCAAAUCCCAUUGGAGGACGCCUAUUGGAGACUAACAUUUCUUAGCUCUUCGCUUGGUAGUGACUGGCAGGCGGGGACGUCCAAGAUAUGAUAUAAACGUGGAACAUAUUUCUGCUUUUUCAACUCUUGGUUUUCAUUGGCAAACAAUUUCUAAAUGUUUUGGUAUUAGCCGUUGGACUUUGUAUCAUCAUAGCCAAAGAACUGGAUUUUGAAGACCCCGAUUAUCAAAUAUUUCUGAUUCUGAACUUCAAAAUCUUAUAUAUGAAAUUCUCAUCACUACUCCAAAAUGCAGGAGAAGUCUAUCUAAUUGGUAGCUUAAAUGCAAGACAAACUCAAGUUUAAUGUUUAUUGACCUGGUUGGAAGAACAAUCAGAAGAAGAUCAGCUAUCCAGAGAAGAGUUUCUAAUGUAUUAUGUUCUAAUCAAUUAUGGUAAAUUUUAUAUUUUGUAAUAAAAAAUAUAAUACUGUAUCAUUCGCUUAAAAAUUGU